GAUGAACGCUGGCGGCGUGCCUAAUACAUGCCAGUCGAGCGAACAGACGAGGAGCUUGCUCCUCUGACGUUAGCGGCGGACGGGUGAGUAACACGUGGAUAACCUACCUAUAAGACUGGGAUAACUUCGGGAAACCGGAGCUAAUACCGGAUAAUAUAUUGAACCGCAUGGUUCAAUAGUGAAAGACGGUUUUGCUGUCACUUAUAGAUGGAUCCGCGCCGCAUUAGCUAGUUGGUAAGGUAACGGCUUACCAAGGCAACGAUGCGUAGCCGACCUGAGAGGGUGAUCGGCCACACUGGAACUGAGACACGGUCCAGACUCCUACGGGAGGCAGCAGUAGGGAAUAUUCCGCAAUGGGCGAAAGCCUGACGGAGCAACGCCGCGUGAGUGAUGAAGGUCUUCGGAUCGUAAAACUCUGUUAUUAGGGAAGAACAAAUGUGUAAGUAACUAUGCACGUCUUGACGGUACCUAAUCAGAAAGCCACGGCUAACUACGUG
rnacentral:rRNA from 1 species